UAAUCUCACCUCCAUGGUUUCUUAUCGUGGUUGUGGAUCUGGAUGUUGUCGGCAUUGUUCGACCCAUCUGAAAUGUAUGAGUGUACCCUGCUGUGCAGCGUAUCUGGUGUGAUAAGCAUCUUCACCGGAGUAAAGCCUCUUUUGGCACGUCUGAACUGGUGGGCUCUAUGCUUCUAACCGUCUCAGUGACAAUCUUUGACA
rnacentral:misc_RNA from 1 species